UCCAUUGUGGGAAGAUAAAAAAAGUUAGCUACCCUUUUUGGGGAGGUGACAGGCCUGAGUAUUGUGGUCAACCAGGGUUGAAGUUAACUUGCCUGGAAGAUGAAGAAACCGAGAUUACAAUCAUGUCUGUAAGUUACAAAGUCAUUGAGAUCAACAUCAAUUUACAAGCUUUCACUGUUGCAAGAAUUGAUUAUCUUCAAUCCCUUUGUCCCCGAACCCUGCUCAAUACCACCUUGAACUUCAACCUUUUGAGUUAUGCUUGGAACCUUGAGAACAUAACAUUGUAUUACCACUGCCCUUUGAUUUCCAACAUAUCCUCAGGGUUUCCAAGUCUGUUUAACUGCAGCACCAGCAAUGGAACAGAUAUGGUGAAUUACUAUGUUAUAGCAUCUGUUCUGGGCAACCUGUCAACUGAAGUGAAAGAUGGGUUGAGAUCUUGUGAUAGCCAUGUGAUUGUUCCAGCUUUUUAUACUGCAGUUGAGACAAUCAAGAGAAACCCAACUCCAGAUACUUUGGUUUUGCCUCUUGGUAAUGGAUUUGGAUUGAAAUGGGAUGCAAAUAUAGCUUCCAAAUGUGAAGACUGCAAUGAUUCUGGGGGUAGGUGUGGGUAUAAUAACAGUUUGAAUCAAUUCACUUGUUAUUGCCCAAAUCAUACUGAUGCAUCAACUUGUCUUCUAUCAGGUAUGCAGUAAAAACACAUUUUCUUUGGAGUAAUUAGAGUUUUUGGAUCAAAUUAAUCAGGUUUCUUGGUUUAACUGCUUCAUAUAUGCAUUUAGAGAGCACUAUAUAAAAAAUUUUCUAAAACCAGCGACUUUUUCAACCAUGUGAGGUCUCAAAAUCUAGGUGCUUCCAUCCCUUUGAUAUAUUAAAGUUGUGAGCUCUACAUGGAUUCCCAAUGCUUGGUAGCAUAAAUUAAAGAAUUCAAAAGAAAAAAAAAGUGUUGAAUCAGCUGUCUGCAUAUGAAAUAUACUUUAGGUGAAAGGCAUCAACUUUAAAGCUGACAAAUUUGAACAUAUGUUAUUAUUCUAAAGUAACAUGCUUGCUUUUCAGCAGGAACAAGGAAAUAUAGCCAAAGAAACAGCUAUAUCUUUACUGCUAAACCCCCCCCCCCCCAACUUUGCUGGCACUUAUGGAUCAUAAAAUUCUAAAAAUUUAGAACAUAGUAUUUGCAAAUUACAUUUCAUUUUUUAUUAAAUUUUUUCUUUAAAUCCAAAUACAUAUCAGAUAUGAAUAUAAAACACGAAUAAUUUAAGAAAAAUGUACGUCUAGGUAACAUGAUUGUCUAUUUUAUGUUCCAGGGUCGUCUGCAGGUACCAGUUUGAAGAUUAAGCUAAUCAUAGGUAAUAAACACAUUCUUAUAUCUGUGUUUAUAAGAAUGAAAAAUCAACUAAUAUUUCUGACUAAAGAAAAUUGACCUUUCAUUUAAAACAGGGUUUACAGUGGUAGGGGCCACUGUUAUGGUAGUUUGCUUGAUGGUGUUUGCCUUGAGGCUUAAGAAAGGAUCGUUGUCAAGUGGAAUGCUGAAGAAUUUGCAGCGAAAUAAAAGGAAGAACAGUGAAAGGAUUGAGGCAUUCAUCAUGAGAUAUGGUUCAGAUCUUGCUCCGAAGCGGUAUUCUUAUUCGGACAUCAAGAAAAUCACCAAGUCGUUCAAAGACAAGCUUGGCGAAGGCGGAUUCGGCAGUGUCUACAAAGGUAAGCUACCGGGUGGACGUCUUGUUGCAGUUAAAGUCUUGAGUGAAUCUAGGGAAGAUGGAGAGGAAUUCAUUAACGAAGUGGCGAGUAUUAGUCGAACUUCUCAUGUUAACAUAGUGACGUUUCUUGGAUUUUGUUAUGAGAGUUCGAUAAGAGCUUUGUUAUAUGAGUUCAUGCCGAAUGGAUCGCUGGAUAAGUACAUCUACCACCACAGAUCACCAGAUAAAAGUUGUAUACUGACCCGGAAAACAAUGUUUGAAAUAGCUGUCGGCGUUGCACGAGGGUUGGAAUAUCUACAUCGAGGAUGUAACACGAGAAUUUUGCACUUAGACAUAAAACCUCAUAACAUCCUUUUAGACGAAAACUUUGUUCCCAAUAUUUCGGAUUUUGGUCUUGCAAAGUUAUGUGAGCGGAAGGGAAGCAUUCUUUCGUCGAUAACCGCACGAGGAACGAUAGGAUAUAUUGCUCCAGAACUAUUUUGUCGAAACUUCGGAGGCGUUUCUUACAAAUCCGAUGUUUAUAGCUAUGGGAUGAUGGUUCUUGAAAUGGUCGGAGCGAAGGAAAACAUUCAUGUCGGAGGGUCUCUAACAAGUGAAAUGAACUUCCCUUCAUGGAUUUACGAACAUCUUGAACAAGAAGCAUUCAAUCUUGAAGGAAUUACGGUGGAAGAUGAAGAAAUAACUAGGAAGAUGAUUAUAGUGAGCUUAUGGUGCAUUCAAACUAAUCCAUCAGACCGACCAUCAAUGACUAAAGUGCUAGAAAUGUUACAAGGAAACCUUCAAUCACUAGCAAUUCCACCAAGACCUUUCUUGUUUUCUCCUCAACGAUCGCCCCCAAACUCCUUGUCGGCAAUAUCAUUUUUUGCAUCUUCCAUUACCAUGAAUAUCAAAUAAUAAGGCUGCAGUAAAAUUUUUGACUUCACAAACGAAUUAAGAUUUUAGAAAGUAUUUUCUUUUUUACUUUUUAAAAACAUUUAGCCUCUUUUACCUAAUAGAAAAGUUUUAAUGUAUAUUUCAUUAGAGUUGUUUAUCAAUAAGAUCAGGUUCGGAAUGAACCAUUGUAUGGUAAAACAAUCAAUAUUUGUUCAAGUUUAGCUUACUUCGAUAUAUGAGCUUCAAUUUUUACUCAAGUCCUUUAAUAUUUGCAAAUGAUUAACACAAUCCUACUAUAUUAAAGAAAAAUGUUUAAUUUAUACUAAUUUAAUCUUAUUAUUUAAUAUUUUUAAUUAAAAUUUUAAAGAUGAACAAUGAAACAUAUUUUUUAUAUUAAUAUUAUAGUAUUAUCUAUAUUAUUUGUUAAGUGUUUUAUUGAGUUAGUGUUACCCUCAACUGAUUACCAUCUCAGUUAAGAAAAUUACGAAAAUGCUCUUUGGUAAGUAAGUUAUAAUUUUCGAGGGCAUUUUAAUCUUUUUUAUUUUAAAAAAAAUCAAUAAAAAUAUGUAUAAGAUAGGAUUUGAACUCGGACCAAUCAAAUUUAUAAAACUUUAAAUUUACCACACAACUAAAAUUUCAUUUUAAUAUGUAAAAUUUAUUAUCUCUAUUAGUUGUAUAUAUUAAUAAUAUUUUUAAUUGAAUUGAUGUCACAAAUUAACUCGACAUUAACUCACAAUUAAUGACAACAUCAUAAUAAAUAAUUGUAGUGCAUUUAAUAUUUUUAAUUUGAUGUAUUUAUGUUGUUAAUUUCAUGUACUAUUACGUUUAAUUAUUUUAAACCAUAUAUUUUAUUUUUUUAUUAUAUGUUCGUUUUAAAAAUGUAUGUGUUUUAAAUUUAUAAUUUUCACAUACAUAGGCGUAUAAUAAGAUUUCCAAUAUAUUAUUAUAGAUUUAAGUUAGAUUUAAAUUACAUAAUAUAAUACAAUACAAUAAUAUAUUACAAUACUUAAAAACAAAUUUGGUAAGGUUAGACUAACGCCAUAAAUAUUAAAAUUCAAGCCUCGAACAUAUUUUAUAUUGAUUAAUUUCUUUUUUACUUAAAUCCAUUUUUCUAACUUUGAAAAUUUAUCAAUAGGGUAGAUGCCUCCAAAACUAAUUCAAUAAUAAUAUAUUUUGCCCACAUUUUAGUCCAUAGAUUCAAGAUGCCUUGGUUGUCCAACUUUCCAUGGUUCUCCUCGUUACCCCUUUUCUAGGUAAGCAUGAGUUAAUAUGUUUAUUUAUUUUUUAAAUAAUUUUAUUAUAGAUUUUGAUUAUAUCUGUUUUUUUAUACAAUAUUUAGAAUUACUCGUAGUUCAUCUCCAACCCAUAAAUAAGAAAAUCAUGUGCUUCAGUAUAAUUAAACUCACGUCCUCUUACAUUUAUAACAAUAUCAAUAUUAAUUGCACUAAAACUUAAAUCAUUAAUAUGUAUAAUUCUUAAAUCGUAUUUUUCAAAUUCUACAAUUAGUACUGUUUUUAUAUAUUCUAAAUUUUUCUCAAUUAUAUUUUUAAAAUAAUUUUGAAAAUCAAUAUUGAUUCGAAUAAUUCAACACAGGUAGUGAAAUUUCGUAGAACAUGGAAUGAAGUUGAAAGAUUUCUUUAUUAAUUUCUGGAAGUAAAUAUUUUCCUUUGUCCUAUCACUCUCAACAAAACACCACUUGAAAAUAAGAAUAUUCAACCAUUUUAUUUUCCACAUCUAAAAAUAAAAUAAAAUAAAUAGUAAAGUUGAAUUCAAUGGAGAUAGAAUAAAUAGAAUAAAAUUUUGCCAUGACUAGAAAUUAGUUGGGAACAUGACUAGGUAAACUGUAAUUAAAUACAUAAAAGAAGAGGUUUUAAUUAUUCUAAUAUUAAAGAACUAAAUAUAAUCAAUAGGAAAUGAGAUAGAAAAUAGAAAAUCAAAAUUGUGAAUAAGAAAUCAACUAUGUUAGUCUUGGUAUUAGAAUAUAUCAUGAAUUAUAUGACAUAUUAUAACACCCCUAACCCGUAUCCGUCGCCGGAAUAGAGUUACAAGAUGUUACCGAAGUUUGUAGAAUAAUUACACAUAAUUUCAAAAAUUUUCCUAUAUUCAUAACAAAACUGUUCACCUGAGUCAUAGUGAUUAAAUUAUUUAUAUCUUGAGCUACAGAACUCUAAAUUGAGAACCGCUAAUUUUCUCUGAAACUAAACUCACAUAUCUUCUUACCAUAAAAUUUUUCAGAAUUUUUGGUCCAGCCAAUAAGGACAAUUUAUUCUUUAAAUUCACUCUUGUUUAACUGUCCAACAGUCCUGACCCCUCUUCACAAAAAUUUUAUUAUCUCUUAGUACAAGAUUCGAAUGAUGUUUUUGUUUAUUUCUUUUGAAAAUAGACUCAUCAAGGAUUCUAAGUAGAGGUAUGCAUGGGCUGGGCCGGGCCGGGUUUGGGCCGGGCUCACCAAAAAUUUUAGGCCCAUUUUCUAGGCCCGAGCCCGGUCCGGACCAAAAUAUGGGCCUAAAAUUUUGUCCAAGCCCAGCUCGAAAUAAAAUUGUUUAGCCCGAGCCUGGCCCGGCCCGGCCCAUAUUAAAUUUUUUUAACUUAUUUCAUUAAAUAAAAAAUUUUAAAAUAUAUUAAAUCAUCAAAUACAUUUAAAACAAAUAUUAAAACAAGAAAUAAAUAAAAAAUAUAUUAAAACAAUACACAAAUUAAAAAUAUAAUAAAAAUUGAUUAUAUUAAAAUUAAAAAUAGAAUAUAAAUAUGAUUAAAAAUAAAAUAUAUAUAUAUUUAGUAUAUAAUUCGGGCCGGGCCGGGCCCGGGCAAAAAAAAAUUUACCAGAGCCUGGCCCAUUUUCUAAACGGGCCUUAUUUUUUUUGCCCAAACCCAUAUUUCGGGCCUAUAUUUUUACCCGAACCCUCCCAUUUUUUGAGUGGGCCUUCGGGCCGGGCCGGGUAGCCCGGCCCAUACACACCUCUAAUUCUAUAAUUCUAAGCAUAUAAAUUAUAACUCAUAUUUAUUUUUUUACAAUUUUUAAUGAUUUUCUCAAAUCAGAACUGAGGAUUUCAAAAUCAUCUUGACUCUGUUUUACACAAAUUCAAAUAUCUCUUAAUAUGAAAUUCUUUUGCUUACAAAGUUUUCUUUAUAUGAAACUAGACUCAAUAGAAUUUAAUUUCAUAUUUAAUUCAACCUCUAAUUCAAUUUUCACAAUUUAUGGUGGAUCUUCAAAGUCAAACUAUAGCUAUUAUGUAAGACUAUUUUAGUACAAAAUAUUAAUGACUAAGUUGAUAACACCUUUAUUUCCUUUCACUACAAUAUUUCCUAUCACUCCCUUUGAAAAUCUAAAUAUUUUGCACUAAAACAGUCUUACAUAAUAGUUGUAGUUUGACUUUGAAAAUCCACCAAAAAUUGUGGAAAUUGAAUUAGAGGUUGAAUUAAAUAUGAAAUUAAAACCUAUUGAAUCUAGUUUCAUAUAAAGGAAAUUGAAUUAAAGGUUGAAUUAAAUAUGAAAUUAAAACCUAUUGAAUCUAGUUUCAUAUAAAGAAAACUUUGUAAGCAAAAGAAUUUCAUAUUAAGAGAUAUUUGAAUUUGUGUAAAACAGAGUCAGAAUGAUUUUGAAAUCCCCUGUUCUGAUUUGAGAAAAUCAUUAAAAAUUGUACAAAAAUAAUUAUGAGUUAUAGUUUAUAUGGUUAGAAUCCUUGAUGAGUCUAUUUUCAAAAUAAAUAAACAAAAACAUAAUUCAAAUCUUGUACUAAGAGAUAAUAAAAUUUUUGUGAAGAGGGGUCAGGACUGUUGGACAGUUAAACAAGGGUGAAUUUAAAGAAUAAACUGUACUUAUUGGCUGGACCAAAAAUUUUGAAAAUUUUAUGGUAAGAAGAUAUGUGAGUCUAGUUUCAGGAAAAAUUAGCGGUUCUCAAUUUGGAGUUCUGUAGCUCAAGAUAUAAAUAAUUUAAUGACUAUGACUUAGGUGGACAGUUUUGUUAUGAACAUAGGAAAAUUUUUGAAAUUAUGUGUAAUUAUUCUAUAAACUUCGGUAACAUCUUGUAACCCUGUUCUGGCGAUGGAUACAGGUUAAGGGUGUUACAUUUAUUGGUAUCAGAGCUAUAGUUUAGCUGGUUCUCGGACUAAUGUAGCAAAUAUGAGAUUAGCUAUACAUGCCAUUAUUUAUAUUUGAUAGUGUGAUAUCUCCUGACCAUUUAAAAUGUGUUUUUUUAUAGUAAAUGUCUUCCAAUCGAGCAAAAACUAAACUUGAGGAAGCUGAGAGUACAGCUCAAGCUUCCGGAUAUCGAGCUGAAUCUAGUAGUAGAAGGCCUGAGUCUGAAGGCCGAGGUGAUCAAGCUAAAGCAGCUUUCUUUGAAAUGAUGAAUGAAUGGUUUACACAGUACAUAAGAACAAAUCUGAAUCCUGCUAUUAUACAUAUUCCUUUCCAUUUAUAAGUCAACUAUAGUAAUCCAAAAACAACUUCAAAUCAUGUAUUUUUUUAUCUUAAACUGUAAUUUAAAUACAAAAACAAUUAACAAUAAAUAAUUGUCAAUCAAAUAUCUGUAAGAAAGUUUUUAAAAUUUAAUUCAUCAACAAUGUUACAAAUUAAAAAGAUCUGAACCUAAUCAACAAACUCGACUAUGUAGUUCAUUUAAAUAAAAUUAUUCAUUCCCAUAACUUAACUCCAUCGCCUUAUAUCAAUCAAAUUAUAUUAAAUUUACCGGAACUAGAGUUAUAAAUUUAUCAUGUGACCUAUUUCUUUUAUAUAUUCUUUUUAAUUUCUGUACUAUAUUUUAUAUACACUUGUCAUCAAUUCAACCCUACUUAGGGUCUAUUCUGUAGUGUUUAAAAAAACACUUUUGGAAGAAAAUCUAUGUUAAAUAAAUUAUUUUUUGUUGAAUUUUUUUUCUUUUCAGAAGCUAAAAUUUUUAGUUUUUCUCUCCCAAAAGCACUUUUAGUGCUUAAUUACUUUUUCACCCCUACAAUAACAUAGUACUUUCUCUUUUUUGUCUUUGUUACUUAAUUACAAAUGUGUUAAAAUCAUUAAUUAAAAAAUAAAAAAUAUUUUUUAAAAUACUAAUUACAAAUAUUUAAUGGUUACAUUUAAAUAUUUAAAAUAUAAUUUAUAUAUUCUAAUUAAAUUUUAUAAAUAAUUAAUAUUUAUUGCUUAAAAAUACUUAAAAUUUGUAUUUCAUAUAUUAAAAGAUUAACAAGUUAUAAUAAUUUUUUUUAUAUUCUUACUAAACUAUAAUAAUAUUAAUUAAUUUAAAUAUUCUUUAAAUGCAUAUUUAUUACUUGAUAAUAACAUGUCUAAAAUGGACAUUUUAUUUCUCAAAAUCACUUUUUAACAGCAACGCUAAACACUCAAAUUUUAAAUCAAACUUUUCAUAACUACUUUUUAAAAGUCCUUUUUAAAAGUAUUGCCAAACUAGCCCUUAGUAUCAAAUAUUUUCCCAUAAAAAUACCAUAUUUUACUAAAAUUAAUAUCAUACACCUUAAAAAAAAAUGGCAUACAAUCAUGACCAAUCUUUUCUUCAUAAUCUACCAAAAAAAAAAAUGUCAAAUAUGCACCCAAAAUUAUGUAAGAUACAUUAAAUUUAAUUUUAUAUCUAAGAGAUGAAAAUUGUAAUUAGAUUAAUUAUAAGCAUUAAUAUUAAUGAUUGAAAUAAAUAUAUAAAUGGGGAAUGCAGCGACUAAGUGGCUUACUUUGGUUUCCAGUACUGUUCUUGGAACUUAAUAUCCUUGCUGACUUAAAUUAAUAAAGCUGCACCAUUUUAUACAAGCAAUUGAACAAUAUCCUUAGUUCUCACUUUUCCUUUUCGAUUAUUUGGGUUGGAAACAUAUAUACACUCACUAACUUUUCAUGACUUUUAUAAGAUUCAAUAAUGGCUAACCAAGUUUCCAUGACACUUCCUUUUCUUACAUAGUACCCCUUUCUUUCUGCAAUCUGAAGUCUUUCAAUUUUGUCCUCUUAAAAAUAUCAACAAAGAACAGAACCAUUCAAAAAAUGUUAUUAUUUAUUCAUAAUAUUCUAAUUUCUUGAUGUAACCUUUUCUUUUUUGGUUAGGAUGAAAAUAUUUGCCAAAUUCUCUCUCAAGCUAGUGCUUUUACCAAACAACAUGGCUUCCUUUAAUAUCCCUUCAACCUCAUCAGCCCUGGUUUUUUUCAUCAUCAUCAUCCUUUUAUUAGUUCAAGUUCCAACCUUAUUAAGUUCAAGCAAUGACAACUAUAUGGUCUGCAGCAAACAAUUCCAUUGUGGGAACAUAAAAAAUGUUAGCUACCCUUUUUGGGGAGGUGACAGGCCUGAGAACUGUGGGCAACCAGGGUUAAAGUUAACUUGCCUGGAAGAUGAAGAAACCCAGAUCACAAUCAUGUCAGUAAGUUACAAAGUCAUCGAAAUCAACAUGGAUAGACAAGCUUUCACUGUAGCCAGAACCGAUUAUCUUCAAAACCUUUGUCCCCAAACCCUGCUCAAUACCACCUUGAACUUCAACCUUUUGAGUUAUGCUUGGAACCUUGAGAACAUAACAUUGUAUUACCAUUGCCCUUUGAUUUCCAACAUAUCUUCAGGGUUUCCAAGUCUGUUUAACUGCAGCACCA
rnacentral:lncRNA from 1 species